UAGGAAAUAGUGUAUAGGAAGCACUGAGAGUUUUGAUCUCUUAAGGUUGGGUUCGAGCCCCUUUUUUCUAA
rnacentral:tRNA from 1 species